UAAUAAAGUUAGAUUUAGAAGUCCGUCAUGGUUUGCUCUGACAAAAAUGGCAGAUGUUACGUUUUAUCUCAAAUAUUUCUCAAAAUUGGACUUUCUAUGUAAACAGGAAGACCAAAAUGACGUUCUAAAGGGCUUUAAAAGUCAACUUUAAGAAAAAGAACAUUUUAAAUGUUUCGAAGACCAAAGGAGAUAAAGGAGGACGCAGGCGUGAGUCCAGAAAGAGAGACGUAUGGACUUCGUUUACAGGUAAAGAAUGUCCCUGACAGAGGCGCCCCCCUCCCGUCUGAGGUUUCUUCACAGAGGGCCGAUCCCGUUGAGUUUUCCUGGACGGCUCUCAUCAGAACGGCGGUGAAGGGGUGAAACUGUCAUGAAUCGGUCCCGUCUCCCCCUCUGGCCACCAGCGGGAUCCAUCACCUGAGUACUAGCACCUCCAGGGUUUCUACACUACACUUCCCAUCAGCCCCUGCUGUCACUCCCAGCGGUACUUUGUCAGAGCUCUGAGAGCGAAGUCUUGUUUGUGUCACUCUGCCUGCAUUGCUGAGCGUUCUCAUCCUGAUCUGAUCUUCUGGUUCUUCUUCCACUCUGAUUGUUUGCCGCCUGCCCCGACCCUCACCUUGACCCUGACCGCUCUGGUUGUUCACAGCUCGUAUUUGUAGACUUUUAGCUGUGCUUCACUCCUGCUCUCAUGCCUGUGCGGAUAAAACCUUCUGCACUUGGAUCCAGCCGUCUGCCCGUUUGUGACAGAAAUGCAGAGGCGCUGGCAAGGCCGGCUGUAGGAUGAUGUCAUGAAGUGGGCGGUACCCACAAGGAGCGAAAGGUGGAAACGUGCUCACAAAAAUAACUAGUAUUUCUAGCAUAGCUAGCCAACCCACUGAAUCCCCACUCAAGCCAACGUGGGCCAACACAGGAAGUGGGCAAACCCAUUCGGGGUCUACGCUGCCUUCAUAUGGUUAUAGUUUACUCUGAAAGACUUAACAUGAACAUGGUCUUAUAGGAUUUUUAACUGUGACGUCGGCUUUCAUUAAACCACCUGUUGCAUCAUUCUGAGUUUCCUAUUGUGGUUUUUCUGCUGAACUUUCAUUCGGGAGUUUGAACAUCCAGGUAAACAGAGGAGUUUGUUGUGAUGACGGUUUGAGCUGCUGAAAGUGGAGAUCUCCUGCAGAACAUGUGGAUCCUGCAGGCACAGCAGUCAGGUGGGUUUCUAAUCCUGCAUCUCCCCUGAGAUCUGACUGCUUCAGCUCUGAAGGAAACUUCCGAUCAUACUGAAAGAAUUCCCAACAGCCUGUUUGGAAAGUCCUGAAGGCGUCUUGAGCUCAGAGACGACAAACAGCUGAACCUCUGAAAUGAUGUUUAUUCAGCAUCAGCAUGGAGAGUUAGAUAAACUUUUGGCACAGUUGCUCGAUGAUAAUACGCUGUCCCGUUUCUGUAUGGUAAUCUAAAUAAAUAUGCAAAUUCAUAAUUUAUUCUCAAAAUAAAUACAAUAUAAACUAGAACAAAGAUGCACCGCAUCUGCCCCCCCUCCCCAGCUUCACUGAACAUUUGAAGAACUUCAGGCAGUUUCGGUCAGUUCAAAAGCAAAGAUGAACGAGGGUCAAACGGAUGCGUCAUAAUUCACCCGAACAGGAGGACACGGAGGCAUGUUCAGGGCCGGAGAAGGCUGCUCUGUGGCUCACAGGUUCAAACCCCCGGCUGGAUGCUUCCGCUGCCCCACAGACCAGCAGGAGGAAACCAGAAGGUUUGGGCUGAAAUGACGAUGCGCCGCGGAUGAGAAUCAAAACAGCUGCAGACGAAGUCGCCGUUUGUUCAUAUAAGCUGUUUUUGGCUAUUAUAGAUCAUUUCAGAGCAUUAUGGGUAAUUCAGUAUUUCUUGAUGGGCUUUUCAGGAGAGUAGAAACAGUAGAAAAUAUUCUUUGGGCAGUAGAUGGGCUUCAUAGAUUGGGCGGAUUUACGUUUUAAGGGGGGAGUCCACGAAGUGGUUUUUGUGCCACCGUAUUGGAAGCUAAAGUCACAGUUUUGAGAUCAACAUUUUCUAGAUUGCAAACAAAAUGUAAAGUCUUAAGAAUAAAAAUGUAUAAUUUGCAAAUAAAAAUAUUUCAUGUUUGGUUUCAAAGACACAAACGUUUUUAUAUGCGUUGUGACCUCAUCUCGGUUUGGCCCUAUCGUUGAUUUUGCAUUGAUAGUUUCUUU